UAGACACAGAAAACCUUAUGUUCCUACAUCAAACAUGAUAACAACCAGUAGCAUGUACAAAACUUCAGACAAAUUUGGCCGGAUUAUGUAGCAGCCGGUGAUGUGCAGUUACGUGAGUUGUAUUAUGGCAGACCAUUAGAGUUUACAAAGAGUGCACAACCUUGGACACCUUGGCUCCUGGAAGACGUAAUCAUGUAGCAGGCUGUGACCAGAGAGGCCUGCUCCACAGUAGUUGACCCACUGGGUUAGAACCAGACAAGCUCACUGCGGUAAAGCCUCUUAGCGCAGGGUAACGUGAUCUGACACAAGCUGGUUUGGGAAAGGUGGACAGGGUUUCCCCCAGCUGUGUCUUCUAUCUACUACAGUCACAUGGCACUGCUUUAAAGUGUUGUCUAUUGCCACAAUCAGCUCCCUUCAUGACUAAUGCUAC